rnacentral:ncRNA from 2 species
GGCAGAGUAGGGACACACGUGUCAACGGGCGGCAAGGGCCGUCCGCAGUGCUGGGAAGACGGGGAGUUGCUUUCCGGACGAAAGGGAAACCGCAGUGUGUGUCCCGCAUCCCGCUGCC